GGUAGCUCAGUGGUAGGGCAUCUGCUUGGCAUGCACAAGGUUCCAGGUUCCAUCCCAGUCAUCUCCA
rnacentral:tRNA from 1 species